GACGAACGCUGGCGGCGUGCUUAACACAUGCAAGUCGAACGAGUGGCGAACGGGUGAGUAAUACGUGAGUAACCUGCCCUCUUUUUGGGAUAAGCCUUGGAAACGGGGUCUAAUACCGAAUAAAGGGGGAUGGGCUCGCGGCCUAUCAGCUUGUUGGUGGGGUGCUGGCCUACCAAGGCGGAGACGGGUAGCCUGCCUGGGAGGUUAAACGGGCACAAUGGGACUGAGGAACGGCCCAGAAGCCUACGGGAGGCAGCAGUGGGGAAUCUUCCGCAAUGGAGGAAAGGCUGGCGGAGCAACGCCGCGUGAGUGAUGGCGGGCGUCGGGGUGUAAAGCUCUGUUAAUCGGGAAGCGGUACCGGAAUAGAAAGCCACGGCUAACUACGUGCCAGCAGCCGCGGUAAUAC
rnacentral:rRNA from 1 species